rnacentral:rRNA from 1 species
GACGAACGCUGGCGGCGUGCUUAACACAUGCAAGUCGAACGAAGUGGCGAACGGGGGAGUAACGCGUAAUCAACCUGCCCUUCAGAGGGGGACAACAGUUGGAAACGACUGCUAAUACCGCAUAGUGAAGGCGGGGAUUGCGUCUGUUUAGCUAGUUGGAGGGGUAACGGCCCACCAGGGCGAUGAUCAGUAGCCGGUCGGAGAAGAUGGAGGGCCGCAUUGGGACUGUGACACGGCCCAGACUGCUACGGGGGGCAGCCGGGGGGGAUCUUCCGCAAUGGGCGGAAGUCUGACGGGACAACGCCGCGUGAGUACUGACGGCCUUCGGGUUGUAUAGCUCUGUUAAUCGGGGCGCGGUACCGGAAUAGAAAGCCACGGCUAACUACGUGCCAGCAGCCGCGGUAAUUC